AGCAGGAGGUGGAACAUCAACAUUUGUAACUUUGCAUAAGUUUAGAUUUGCAUCAGACAUUUUGAAAAUGAGGACGUCGCUUGCACUUGCUGUUACAGUUCUCGCUAUUGCGAUUUUAUUUUCAAAUGCAGAGAGUAAUUUUGUGGGAAACUCUGGAUCUAAAGGUAUUCCGUGUGAAGACGGUAACUUGCUCGGCAAACAUGAAACAUGUAUGGGUGGAAGCCGAUUUAUGAAAUGGAAAUGUGAAUGCCAGUGGCCGUUCGCAUGCGACUACUCUCCAUUGCACAAAAGUUAUGUGUGCAUGGGAGAAGAGGACUAUGACAGUGACUUUAAAGAUACACUCAAGAGAUUCAUAUUUUAAUAACAUCAUCGCGUGACGUGAGGAAGAAAGGUUUUUAUCAUCGUUGUGGAUUCAGAAGAACAGGUUGAAACAAUUUCGAUGGAAAAAACACGGUUAUUUCCGAUAGACGCUGCUACGAUUAUACACCUCAACAGCGCCCUCUAAACGCACCACCUGACAGUGUUGUUGUAGUACUUCUUUCUGUUGUCUGCGCUGAAGUUAUUGCCAUGCCCGCCAAAUGAUUAUCCAUUAUUUUGAUGUCAAAAUCAAUAACGCAUAUAUUUUGUUCAAGGGGUGCCUUGGUAUUUGAAGAAGCCGUUUUUUUAUCAUUAUGUAUUAGGUGUGUAUCGAGUCAAGAUGGAAGACAACUAGAGAGUAGGAUGAUGUAGUUACCGUGAACACCAGCGUCUAUCCGAAAUAAAACUAGAAUUAUAAAACAAAAAUUACUUAUUGUAUUGUAAUGUGCGUACUUUUACGUUUCACAUUGGGUUGCAUGUUUUUUUAUUUAAUUUUAACGGUAACGACGAUUAAAGACGAAUAAUAGUCAUUGCUGUACCAUACUGAAGUAAAAACCAAAUGAUUUCCCGUGGUAACACAGCUUAUCAAUAACCCGAUUUGAAGUAGCACACCAGUACAUGAAUCUGAAGAACAAUAUGUCCUGGAAAGAUCACGACUUCAUUCCGCAUUCCCUUAAAUUCCAUACAUAUUCUAAAUUCCAGUCAUAGUAAAAUACUAGAGGAUAGCCAUCUACAGUGAUACAUCAGUGCUAUUGUUUUGCAGUGAUGCAAAACAUGUGAUCCUAGUUUCGCUACUGACGUCAUUGCCUCUGAUGUCGAAUUGACUACGGGAUCAUAGCUAUAUUUGUGUUUAGGUAUGCAGUGCCUCAACGUACUACCAAGGGCGCCAUCAACGACACGAAUGUGUUUGUAUAUCGAAUCGAUCACUGGGGGCGCUAUUUGCUUUUACGUUUUGAAGAACGUGUCACAAAUCGGUUACUUGAUAAGAAGCAAAUGCUAUAGGAUUUUUACUCAUAAAAAUACGUUUCGUAAUUUCACUAUCUUUUCUCAAUUUGUCAAAUUUAACGAUGUAAUGUUAGUUGUAGUGAAUAUGUAUGUAGUUGU